CCUACGGGAGGCAGCAGUGAGGAAUAUUGGUCAAUGGGCGCGAGCCUGAACCAGCCAAGUAGCGUGAAGGAUGACUGCCCUACGGGUUGUAAACUUCUUUUAUAAAGGAAUAAAGUGAGGCACGUGUGCCUUUUUGUAUGUACUUUAUGAAUAAGGAUCGGCUAACUCCGUGCCAGUAGCCGCGGUAAUACGGAGGAUGCGAGCGUUAUCCGGAUUUAUUGGGUUUAAAGGGAACGUAGAUGGGUUGUUAAGUCAGUUGUGAAAGUUUGCGGCUCAACCGUAAAAUUGCAAUUGAUACUGGCAGGCUUGAGUAUAGUUGAGGGAGGCGGAAUUCGUGGUGUAGCGGUGAAAUGUUUAGAGAUCCCGAAGAACCCCGGUUGCGAAGGCAGCUUACUAAACUGUGACUGACAUUGAUGCUCGAAAGUGUGGGGAGCAAACAGGAUUAGAUACCCGGGUAGUC
rnacentral:rRNA from 1 species